rnacentral:rRNA from 1 species
AGUGAACGCUGGCGGCAGGCCUAAUACAUGCAAGUCGAACGGCAGCACAGCAGAGCUUGCUCUGUGGGUGGCGAGUGGCGGACGGGUGAGGAAUACAUGGGAAUCUGCCCAGUCGUGGGGGAUAACGUAUGGAAACGUACGCUAAUACCGCAUGCGCCCUACGGGGGAAAGCCGGGGACCGCAAGGCCUGGCGCGAUUGGAUGAGCCCAUGUUCGAUUAGCUAGUUGGCGGGGUAAAGGCCCACCAAGGCGACGAUCGAUAGCUGGUCUGAGAGGAUGAUCAGCCACACUGGAACUGAGACACGGUCCAGACUCCUACGGGAGGCAGCAGUAGGGAAUAUUGGACAAUGGGGGCAACCCUGAUCCAGCCAUGCCGCGUGAGUGAAGAAGGCCCUCGGGUUGUAAAGCUCUUUUGUCCGGAAAGAAAAGCAAUCGGUUAAUACCCGAUUGUUCUG